UACGAAGGGGGCUAGCGUUGCUCGGAAUCACUGGGCGUAAAGCGCACGUAGGCGGACUCUUAAGUCGGUGGUGAAAUCCUGGAGCUCAACUCCAGAACUGCCUUCGAUACUGAGAGCCUCGAGUCCGAGAGAGGUGAGUGGAACUGCGAGUGUAGAGGUGAAAUUCGUAGAUAUUCGCAAGAACACCAGUGGCGAAGGCGGCUCACUGGCCCGAUACUGACGCUGAGGCACGAAAGCGUGGGGAGCAAACAGG
rnacentral:rRNA from 1 species